AAUCAACGCUGGCGGCGUGCCUAACACAUGCAAGUCGCACGAGAAAGGGACUUCGGUCCUGAGUACAGUGGCGCACGGGUGAGUAACACGUGAAUAAUCUACCUCCGAGUGGGGAAUAACUGAGAGAAAUCUUAGCUAAUACCGCAUAACACUUACGAGUCAAAGCAGCAAUGCGCUUGGAGAGGAGUUCGCGGCAGAUUAGUUAGUUGGCAGGGUAANGGCCUACCAAGACGAUGAUCUGUAUCCGGCCUGAGAGGGCGCACGGACACACUGGAACUGAAACACGGUCCAGACUCCUACGGGAGGCAGCAGUGGGGAAUUUUGCGCAAUGGGGGAAACCCUGACGCAGCAACGCCGCGUGGAGGAUGAAAUCCCUUGGGAUGUAAACUCCUUUCGAUCGGGAAGAUAAUGACGGUACCGAGAGAAGAAGCCCCGGCUAACUUCGUGCCAGCCGCCGCCGUAAC
rnacentral:rRNA from 1 species